ACGCGGAGAGACUGUUCUUCGCGCUCAUCAUUUUUUUUUUUUGUUUUUUUUUGCUUUUUUGGGGUUCACAUUAAAACUUCAUAACCCUACAGAGGCCUUUCUUCUCCGAUCUUCGAUUUUGGAUCGACCGUUUUGACCUUUUUAUCACAGCGUUUGAAGUUUUCAUGAUUGAUGAAGAAAUUGCACGAAAUAAUGAUGGAAACAAGAUCGCAAAAUUGGAACCCUGACUUCCAAAAUUUGUAUGACUUCCAUGACAACCAUCAAGUGUGGCUUUCGACCAACAAAGCUAUUUGUAUUUGGGGAUUAGUAUGCUGAUACUAGGAAUAUAAGGAAGUCUUUGGCAAGUUCUUGCAAAGAACCUUAUGGCAGCACUUUUUCAGGGAAACAUACCGGCGUUUCUCCGAUGGCCGUAUCCUCACUGAUUAUCUUGGUACGCAAUAACACUUCAUCUUUUGCCUUAUUUUCUAUCUUUUGAUGGUUGGCUUGUCAUUUUCUGCACUUUAUCUUUCUGCUUUCUACACGAGUCAGCUUUAUGUGCGUGGAAGAAUUUCCAUUAUUGAACAUCCUUUUACUCCAUUUGUAAUUAAUAUGUGUAAACGAGCCUGCUAAUUUGUCUGUGACGUGUGGGAUUUUAUCUAUACAUGUUUCACCAAUGUGGAUGUAUGGGGCUUUAAUUUGCAUCUUUAUCUUUAAAAAUUAUAAGCAAAUAUCUAAUUUUAGUGCUCAAAUAAUGACAUGAACAGCUAAAUUCUUGUGACUCAAAUCUCCAGUAGCCUGCACAUGGAUGAAUUUGGGAAAGCAAAAAUGGUUGAAUGGGAUGAACUUUGCUUACAAAAAAGUUUUUACCAUGAUGUCAGUUCACCGACUCAGGAAGAUUCCUGAUAAUUUAUCGACUUUUGAGCAGUUGGAUCUAAAUCCUUAUAUCACUACUAGAUUAAAUAUUAACUCAACUCUAUAUUUAUGAUGUGUGAGAUAUCAUCUACAUCACUUGUAGUGUAAUGUACUACUUUUGGCCCCGUCUUGAAUUAAAAUGUUGUUACUUCAUUUAUUUUUACUUAGAUAUGCAAUUUGAAGAAAGGCAAUGAAUUAUAUGUUAUUUCUUGUUAUGUGUGCAGGCUAAUACCAUCCAUUUUUUUGUUUUUUUCACCAAGAUUGGCUGUAUUCUUCUUUCUGUUAGGCAGGAUUAUUUUUAUUUGGAAGCAAUACAUAGUCUUAAUUAUGUUGUAAAUCAAUCAGAUUACACAGUGCAAACGCUAGGAAAUGUGACCACAUAUUUGUCACUUACGAAUUCUGUCAGUGUGGUCCCAAAUUUUUCUUACUUCAGAUGUAAUGAAUGAUAUUGAUGGGUUAAAUGUGGACCUGAAUACUGCAACAAAUACAUUGGAGCAGAAGAAAAAUGAAAACUCAGGCAAAACUCAACAAGUCUUCAAUUCUGUAUAUGAUUGUGUGUACCUUGAAUGAAUUUUAAUUCACUUCGAUUAAUUCAUUCAUAAUUUAAUGUCAAUAACCAAAUGCGUUCUUGCAGGAGAUCAACACUUAUCACUGUUGCUGUAAGAUGCUUCUCUUAUCUUUUCUUGGCCUCGGUAUGCAUUGUUAGAUUGUCUCAUAUUCUUUAACUGGAAUUAUAUGUUUUCUAUUGCUGAUUGGUUAGUUAUUUGGUGCAAUUCUGUCUAUCCUAGGUCAUCAACACACAAUAUAUGUAUAAGUUUUCACUUUAAGGUUAUUUAGUUGGUAGUUCCACUUAUUUAUAUUUUUAGAGCUGAUUGUUCUGGUUUUAACAAAAGUGCCUUUUGGUAGUUCACUCCUCAAGUUGACAGUUCAUCUUUUUGAUGUCAUUAUUAGUCGAUGGUUACUUGUGGCAAUAACUUUCUUCAUAUGUUAAGUUUUUGUCAUCCUGAACAAGUGAGAUUCUUUAUUUUCACAUGAACCGCAUUUAUUUUUUAUUAUAAACAUUUUUGUUAGUAACUUAUUCAUACACUAGAUGCAAUCUUCUUUCUUACCUGGGGAAAAAACUACAAAUCAUUAAAUGAUGGUGAAUUGUGUCUGACCAUCUUCUUUUUUAUGUGUUCUCAAUGCAUCAUAUCACUAUUUUAUUUGCUUUAAUUCACUUUACGCUUCUUUUUUUGUACUUUGGGCUUUUACCUGUUAGUUGGCUCUUUAAAGCUCUUUUGACAAUGUCCUUCAUAUCAGGAAAUAGUAGAAAGUAGGCAAUAUUGACUAACCAUGGGGAGCCUCAUGGCCAUGUAUUUAACUUAUCUAAUGAAAGACUUCAAUGAAAAACAAAUAAAUAAAAUCUUCUUAACCAUCUAAACUCCAUGUAUUUUGCCAAAAUGAUGCUAGAAUUCUCAAAUUCCCCUAUGAAAAUGAAAAUGAAAAUGAAAAUUGAUUAUGGUGUUCACUAAAUAUGUAUUAGUUACUGAAGUCAUGGGGAUGAUUUAUGAUGUCAAUUGCCAUAUUGUAUGUAUUUCCAAGUGAGUAUUUCAUUUCGCGAAUCUGAGAGCUGAUGUUGUACAGUAGGGUGUCGAGUUCUGACUGGAAAGCUAAGGCAACGUUAUUCAUCCCUUCAAAACGACCAUAUUUACUUAUCAAAAGUUUCUGGAAAAGACUAAUGGCCAGACAGCAUCUGACUGGUGCAACUCUAAUGAUACCAAACAUCCGUGCCCCGAGGUCGUACAAAACCUACCAUCAGACAUGACAUCAGUUCUAUUAUAUGAAUCUUCCUUUUUUUGUCUGGAAGAAAAUGCAUACAAUACUGGAAGGAAGGAAAGCUUACUUCAGUAUGAGUUGUAUAUGCUGACAUCGGAUGGUCGAUGAACUUCCCUAUAGGCACUGUACUACUUUUGUUGAAAUAAUAAAAAAUGUCAUUGCUUCCAACACUGAUGAAAAACAGUGCUUUUGAGAUUGUUGCUUCUUUUUAUGCUUGGCCCAUAACUUCAGUGAGAUUAUUGUGCAGUGCAGCAAAUUUAACGAUCAAGUCCAACAAUGGCACAAUAUUUUGUUGGUGAGGUAAUUUUACUAGGGAAGAAAUUGUCAGAGUUAGCUCUGCCCAAAUAUAUAAAGCCAUUGUAUUAGUAAGAAUUCAAAGGGUUCAUUUUUCAUAUAAGAGAAAAAUAAUGAUGUUUAGAAAUAGGCUCGAGGACUUUGCAGUUUUGGGCCAGUUGUAUCAAGAAGGCCACAGAAAUGCAUCAAAGAUGUAUGUAAUAUUAUGCCUUACUAUUCACUGAUUGAUCAUUACUUUGUAUCCAAUGUUGUUAUUUUAUA